UGGGGAAUAUUGGACAAUGGGCGAAAGCCUGAUCCAGCCAUGCCGCGUGUGUGAAGAAGGUCUUCGGAUUGUAAAGCACUUUAAGUUGGGAGGAAGGGCAGUAAGUUAAUACCUUGCUGUUUUGACGUUACCAACAGAAUAAGCACCGGCUAACUUCGUGCCAGCAGCCGCGGUAAUACGAAGGGUGCAAGCGUUAAUCGGAAUUACUGGGCGUAAAGCGCGCGUAGGUGGUUCAGCAAGUUGGAUGUGAAAUCCCCGGGCUCAACCUGGGAACUGCAUCCAAAACUACUGAGCUAGAGUACGGUAGAGGGUGGUGGAAUUUCCUGUGUAGCGGUGAAAUGCGUAGAUAUAGGAAGGAACACCAGUGGCGAAGGCGACCACCUGGACUGAUACUGACACUGAGGUGCGAAAGCGUGGGGAGCAAACGGGAUUAGAUACCCUGGUAGUCCACGCCGUAAACGAUGUCGACUAGCCGUUGGGAUCCUUGAGAUCUUAGUGGCGCAGCUAACGCGAUAAGUCGACCGCCUGGGGAGUACGGCCGCAAGGUUA
rnacentral:rRNA from 1 species